rnacentral:rRNA from 1 species
UAACACGUGGAUAACCUACCUAUAAGACUGGGAUAACUUCGGGAAACCGGAGCUAAUACCGGAUAAUAUAUUGAACCGCAUGGUUCAAUAGUGAAAGACGGUUUUGCUGUCACUUAUAGAUGGAUCCGCGCCGCAUUAGCUAGUUGGUAAGGUAACGGCUUACCAAGGCAACGAUGCGUAGCCGACCUGAGAGGGUGAUCGGCCACACUGGAACUGAGACACGGUCCAG